rnacentral:tRNA from 1 species
GGCGGGGUAGUUUAGCGGCCUAGAACACUUAAAACAUCCUUGUUCACCCCUUGCCUGAUUAGGCCGAAGAAUGAGGGUUAUCGCCUUCAACGCGAGAAACGCGGGUUCGAAUCCCGUCCCCGCCC